rnacentral:tRNA from 1 species
GGCCGCGUAGCUCAAUUGGCUAGAGCAUAGGCUGUACUAAAGCCUUCCCCUUUCUGGCGUGAGUUCGAAUCCCACGGCCA